rnacentral:rRNA from 1 species
UACGUAGGGGGCAAGCGUUGUCCGGAAUCAUUGGGCGUAAAGAGCGCGUAGGCGGUCCGGUAAGUCGGUUGUGAAAACUGGGGGCUCAACCCUCAGAGGCCGACCGAUACUGUCGGGCUAGAGUCCGGAAGAGGCGAGUGGAAUUCCUGGUGUAGCGGUGAAAUGCGCAGAUAUCGGGAGGAACACCAAUGGCGAAGGCAGCUCGCUGGGACGGUACUGACGCUGAGACGCGAAAGCGUGGGGAGCAAACAGG